AUGGCUUCGGAUGAAGACAACAAUUCGUUAAACUCAUCACCAAAACGGGCCACAACACUUGCAGCAGCAUCAGCAGCAGCAGCAGCAUCAGCGCAUACUUCUUCGACCUCGACCCCAAACUCAGCAAACGGCACGGCAAACGUCGCAACCGGAGGCGUUACAUCUGCUCAAAUGUUACGGCGAAAGAAAGUCAUGCCAUUGGAACAUGGUUGUGAAGACAAUUGGACUUGGAGUAAACUGUAUCGUUCCAAGGAGAUUGUUUUAAGCGGUGCCAACAAUCGCACAGUGCAUUUUCAUCCCAACUGGAGUAAAGGUACAGCGGGUGUUCAGGGCAAGCGGCCGUUGAAUAAUGGGCGAUUCUAUUGGGAACUGCAUGUGUCGCAGCGUGUUUUCGGUACAAGCAUUAUGUUCGGUAUUGGCACAAAACAGGCGCGUCUGCACGCCAACUCCUUUCGCAACAUGUUGGGCGAGAACGAACACGGUUGGGGUCUAUCGCACAAAGGUGUACUGUGGCACAAAGGUGUAGCGUUGCUUUACACCAAACGUUUCAAAGAGAAUCAUCCCACUGUCAUUGGCGUACUCUUCGAUGGCAUUGAAGGCACGCUCACCUAUUAUAAAGAUGGCAAAUGCUUGGGUGUAGCUUUUAGAGGAUUGGAUAAGAUCAAAGUGCCGCUCUAUCCGAUAGUCUGUUCGACAGCUGCUAAAACCGAAAUGACGCUAAAAUGUACGCGACGUGAUUUCGUAAAUCUGCAAGAUCGUUGUCGUGCCGAAAUAAUCAAACAUGUGAAGACGAGAGAAGAUUUGGUGAAAUUAAAAUUGCCGCCCCUCAUCACGCAAUAUCUGAGUGAGGUGGUGAAUGAUGUGGCGCCGUUGCGGCAAGUUGACAACUAUGACAUUUUAUGCGACUUUUAGAUGAUGAAAUUCGGGUCUGUGCGCAAGUAUUGUAGUUAAAGGGGUAGUGCUGACCUAUAUUUGUGAAAUCACGAUGGUGCAGAAAUUGGCGCCCAACAAACCUUAUAAUAUAAUAUUAUUAUAAGUACAGUUAAUCUGCAAGGGAAUCAGAGAACUUUGACAUAGUAAUUGCAGCUUCUCAUUUGUUUCUCAAGCUUCUUAUACAAUCAACGUUCUGUGGUAGAAUAUUAAAAAUGGUUCCCGCCAAACUCGGUAGCUAAAAUUUAUUUAAUGCAUAAUGAAACAAAAGGAAAUAAGGUAAAAAAACGAAUUAUUUAUUUGUAAACACAUUGUUAAUGCAUGCUUUAGGGCGCACAAUUAAAUUACUCGUUAAUACGUUUUAAAUUUUUGAUAUUUGCUGGCAGAUAAACUUACAAUUUCAGUUGAAUUUAUUUUGUAAAUCGGCCUCGGCACAUCAGACGGUCUUAAGGUUUUACAUGUACGAGUAUUUUAGUAUAAAUUCUUUUCGUAAAAUUAGCUUCGCAUUAUCCCUCAUUUGCUCGCCUUUCACCGAGAACAAUUCUAGUCACUAAAUAUCAGUGAAUUACAGCGAUGAUUACAUUCUAUUUGGGAUUUCCCCUCCAUCCAUAACAGCAUUUUUCUAUCGGCUCAGAUAAACUCGCGCAUUCUUCUCCUUCUCGCCUACACAAAAUUGCUAUCAAAAUCAUAUUAACGGACUCUGUAUUAUAGUGUAAUUUCCCCUUACCUUCUCUAAUUAGACGGGUUCAGUGAAUUCAGCUAGUUGUAUAAAAGCUUGUUAUAUAAGAAUUAGAAGAUGUCUUUAGUCGCUACGAACAUAUAUGUAUGUAUGUAUGUAUAAGUAUAAGUUACAUAUACCGCAACCGUUUAGGCAUUUAGUGUUUGCCUUUGAAACUCUAACCGUGAAGUUCGCAGUGCCAUAAAUUUGCUAUACUUUCACUGGAGAGUCAUAAGCAAACCUAGUAGCGUUGGUUACUUUGCGAAUAUAGAGAAUCUGGUGCUGACAUAAACAUAUAGUAAAAAUACCAAUCGUAUUAAUUUUGGACAUCCCGUUUACUGUAACUAAUACAAAAUGUAAUACCAAAAAUAUGUGAAAGUCUACGAAAGUUAUAAAAAAUAUCUAGUCAGUAGAAUUUAAUAUUAGUUGUGAGUAAGAGGGUUAAAACAAUAAUUAGGCUUGCAUUUAUUAAAUACAUAAAUAAUAAAAAAAAUAUUGUGUGCAAAUGAGUGCGUAGAAGGGUGUUAGGUAAGCAAAAUAAAGUAAUGAAGAAAUGGUGAAGGAGGAAGUAAAGAUAAAAAUUAAAUUAAACUAAAUCAAUGCAAAACAAUGAUCGGAAAUAAAAUAAAAUUAAAUCAAAUAAAUAAAAAUGAAGUAAAAUAAAAUAAUAAAAUAAAUAAAUAAACAAAAAAUAAAAAUAAAAAGUAAAAAUAAAAAUAAAUAAGAAAACAAAUUAAAAUAAAUAAAAUAAAACAAAAUAAAAAAAACUAUGAUAAAAAUAAAAUAAUGACGAAAUAAAUCUAAAAAAAAAACAAAAGUAAAAUAAAUAAUAUAAAAUAGAUAAAAUAAAGUAACAUAAAUUAAAAUUAAUUAAAGAUAUAAAAUAAAUAUAAUGAUAUGAAGUAAAACUAAAAAUAAUAAUAAAAACAGAUGCAAAUAAUAAAAAUUAAUAAUGGAAAAAUACAAAAUCCAAAAUAUAAUGCCAUACAGACUAAAAAAAAUACAAUUAAGUAAGUUAAAACAAAGGGAAAUUAAAAAAAAUAAAUUAAGUUUAUAAUGAAACAUAAAAAUACAAUUUUAUUAAAUAGAGUGAAGCUAAAUAAAAAACAAUAAAACAAAAAAUAAAGAAACCAAACAUAAAAUAAAGUAAAAAAAUAGUUCAAAUAAAAUACAAAGAUAUGAUAUUAAAUUACAUAAAAUAAAAACGUGAUGAAAUAAAAUUAAAAUUAAUAGUAAAGCGUAAAAAAUAAAAAAUAAAUAAUGAGAAAAUAUAAUAAAAUAAAAUCUAUUAGCAAAAUAAAGUAAAAUAAAAUGAGAUGAAAAAAUAGAAAAUGAUAUAAAAAACAAUAAAAUGUUAUAAAGUAAAAUAAAUUUAAAAAUAUUGAUGAAUUAAAACUAAAAAUAAUAAAAAAAAAAACAAAUCAACAUAAAUAAAAUCGAAACAGUAAAAUGAAGUAUAAUAAAAUACAAAAAAAAAAAAUAUUUUAUCAAAUAA